rnacentral:rRNA from 1 species
GACGAACGCUGGCGGCGUGCUUAACACAUGCAAGUCGAACGGAAAGGCCCUGCUUUUGUGGGGUGCUCGAGUGGCGAACGGGUGAGUAACACGUGAGUAACCUGCCCUUGACUUUGUGAUAACUUCAGGAAACAGGGGCUAAUACCGGAUAGGAGCUCCUGCUGCAUGGUGGGGGUGGGAAAGUUUCGGCGGUUGGGGAUGGACUCGCGGCUUAUCAGCUUGUUGGUGGGGUAGUGGCUUACCAAGGCUUUGACGGGUAGCCGGCCUGAGAGGGUGACCGGCCACAUUGGGACUGAGAUACGGCCCAGACUCCUACGGGAGGCAGCAGUGGGGAAUAUUGCACAAUGGGCGGAAGCCUGAUGCAGCAACGCCGCGUGCGGGAUGACGGCCUUCGGGUUGUAAACCGCUUUCGCCUGUGACGAAGCGUGAGUGACGGUAAUGGGUAAAGAAGCACCGGCUAACUACGUG